CUCGUAGGCGGUUUGUCGCGUCUGCCGUGAAAGUCCGGGGCUCAACUCCGGAUCUGCGGUGGGUACGGGCAGACUAGAGUGAUGUAGGGGAGACUGGAAUUCCUGGUGUAGCGGUGAAAUGCGCAGAUAUCAGGAGGAACACCGAUGGCGAAGGCAGGUCUCUGGGCAUUAACUGACGCUGAGGAGCGAAAGCGAUGGGAGCGAACA
rnacentral:rRNA from 1 species